AAAAAAAACCUUGCUCAAAAACAACGUGUUGUUCAAAUCCUUAUUCAGCACAAUGCAAACAUUUAUGUAAACGAUUUGUUUGGGGUUUCCGCCUUGACAUGGCUGAGCGUCAGGGACACGACUCAUGGUUUAAAAACCGACGAAGCAUCAUUGACGGGGAUACGCUCAUAGAAAAAAAAACCAGAUCGUGCUCCGAAGAAAACUAAAGUCAACUUCAAUCUGGACAAGUCCCUUAUUCAAAAGAAAGCAAGACUCGUACGAGAAACUCUUUGUCUUUGGAAAACUUACAUCUAGUAAUAAAAAUCUUAAACUUUCUCUAAUACUUGGAACUCAAAAACUAAUCUAAGCACCCAACGCAGGUAUGAACUUUCAAUGACCCAGACCAAUCGUUAAAUUUAAAAGACUCUUUAUACCAUCCAUGCUAUACCGUACUUAUCGUCGUAAUCAAGACAGUUGUGGUGUGUAAAUAGCAAACAUAUAAGUAAUUUUAC